AUACCUUUCUCGGCCUUUUGACUAAGAUCAAGUGUAGUAUAUGUUCUUAUCAGUUUAAUAUCUGAUAUGCUGUCCAUCGGAUGUCACGAUAUUAAAUUAAUUUUUUUCCUGGAGGAGUUCCCAUCACAGCAGCUUGCUGCUGGGGUUCUCACGCGUUGUCUCUGCGUUGCACUACUUCAAAGGCCCGGCGCACCCCCA